CAAAAAAAGAAGGUCUGGGGUUAAACCUAAAUCCGCAUCCGUGAAGAAACCUAAAUCUCUUUCGGCUGAAAACCAGAGUUCUUCAACUGUCUUUCUCUCUCUAUUCUCAUCUCAAUCGUCCAGGCUUCAAACACCUAAUGAUGUGCUUCCAAUCCAGAGAUCGUCUAGGCUUCAAGGUGAAGGUUUAUCAGUUCUAACGUGAUUUAGGGUUUAUUCCUGUGUUAUGAAAGCCUUACGUGAUUUAGGGUUUGUGAACAAUAAGAUCAUAUAAUCUUUUGGCUCAAGUUUUGGAAUUGUUCAACCAAAGCCCACAAGUCACAAAUUGGAAGUCUUUCAAGGAAAGAGACAAGUGCUGCUAGCCAGGUUUGUGUGAAUGAGUAUAUGGGUUCUGGUGGCUGUGUUGGGAUGUUCGAAUUGAAGAAGUUAGGAUUGUAUUUCAGCUAACCAAAUCAAAUUGUCACUGAUCAAUUGAAGUAUACUUCUCUCCCUAAUUGUCUACAACCUGUCCCUCUCUCUAUUUUCCUCUCGAGUUUUCUUCUCCAGCGGAAACCAUGAAUAAUAGUGUGUUAAAGGAGCUGGAAGUGGUACAGGUUAUAUGGAAAAUGGUGGUUUGAUACUGGAACUGGUGUGGGCUGCGGGGGUGAAUUUAUAUACGGAUGUAGUGCUAAUGGUGGUAUAAGGAUAUUUUUGAGUCUGGUACGAUCUUUUACGAAUCUCAAGGUGGUUGCUGGAGGCUUAUCGACACAGAAGAGGCCUUCGAUAUUCUUUUAUAUCUCUUGACAUACGUGGAAUUGGGGAAUCACAUUUGCACUCAAUGUUGCAAAAAUGGAGGUAUCACAUAAGAUGCAGUUAGAAGGAAUUCCAAAUGCAGGGACCAUGUGAACCCAGCUGAAGAUUGAAUUCGAACUGAAGUUUCUAGAUAUUUUCAAGUCCUGAUCAUUUUACAGUGAACUGAAAGUUCUUUAAUGAGAAAGUUUGCUUCGUAGUCUUUGGAUCCUCUACUAAUCCACUUAACAUCCUUAUCCUUAUGUGGAUAUCUAAGAAUUUGAGACGUUUAUUUUUUGGACAUGAGAUGCAAAUGUAACAACAACGGAGCACAACUGUAGUACUUGAGAAUUGUAUAG